UCGCAUCCGCCAAUCGGUACAGCCGUGUCGCGGGAGGUUCUACAAACCAGCUAAUGCUUUCCGAAGGAAAGCGGAGGUCAGCG
rfam:Comamonas testosteroni CNB-2, complete genome.